rnacentral:rRNA from 1 species
GAUCAUGGCUCAGGAUGAACGCUAGCGACAGGCCUAACACAUGCAAGUCGAGGGGCAGCGGAGAGGUAGCAAUACCUUUGCCGGCGACCGGCGCACGGGUGAGUAACACGUAUGCAAUCCACCUGUAACAGGGGGAUAACCCGGAGAAAUCCGGACUAAUACCCCAUAAUAUGGGCGCUCCGCAUGGAGAGCCCAUUAAAGAGAGCAAUUUUUGGUUUACAGACGAGCAUGCGCU